AUUGAACGCUGGCGGCAGGCCUAACACAUGCAAGUCGAGCGGAUGAAGGGAGCUUGCUCCUGGAUUCAGCGGCGGACGGGUGAGUAAUGCCUAGGAAUCUGCCUGUUAGUGGGGGAUAACGUCCGGAAACGGGCGCUAAUACCGCAUAUGUCCUGCGGGAGCAAGUGGGGGAUCUUCGGAUCUCACGCUAUCAGAUGAGCCUAGGUCGGAUUAGAUAGUUGGUGGGGUAAAGGCCUACCAAGGCGACGAUCCGUAACUGGUCUGAGAGGAUGAUCAGUCACACUAGAACUGAGACGCGGUCCAGACUCCUACGGGAGGCAGCGGUGGGGAAUAGUAGACGAUGGGCGAAAGCCUGAUCCAGCCAUGCCGCGUGUGUGAAGAAGAUCUUCGGAUUGUAAAGCACUUUAAGUUGGGAGGAAGAGCAGUAAGUUAAUACCGUGCUGUUUUGACGGUACCGAAAGAAUAAGCACCGGCUAACUUCGUG
rnacentral:rRNA from 1 species